UUGCACUGUUCGUAACCUGGCUCGGUCCUCCAGUGUGAGCUGUGGGUUCCAUUCCAGUGCCACAGUAAAGCCCAGAGGUUCAGUACGUCUUGUACCGUUGCUCUGUUCACUCUCUGGGAACAUGA